GUGGUUUGUCCCAAUGUGGCUGCAGAGCCGAGCAGUGCCGUAGUCCUGGACGCCACACAGAGAGAUGCUGGUUCCUGCCGACAGGGCCUGUCGAGUGUUCGGGCUCCCUGUGCGAUGGUUCCACACACA